UAGAAUACCAAGGCGAUCGAGAGAACUGUGGUUAAGGAACUCGGCAAAAUGCCCCCGUAACUUCGGGAGAAGGGGGACCAUGCCCGGUGAACAUCUUCACGGUGGGAGCUGGGUGUGGUCGCAGAGACCAGAGAGAAGCGACUGUUUACUAAAAACACAGGUCCGUGCGAAGACGUAAGUCGAUGUAUACGGACUGACGCCUGCCCGGUGCUGGAAGGUUAAGAGGACCGGUUAGCCGUAAGGCGAAGCUGAGAAUUUAAGCCCCAGUAAACGGCGGUGGUAACUAUAACCAUCCUAAGGUAGCGAAAUUCCUUGUCGGGUAAGUUCCGACCUGCACGAAUGGCGUAACGACUUCUCUGCUGUCUCGACCACAGACUCGGCGAAAUUGCACUACGAGUAAAGAUGCUCGUUACGCGCGGCAGGACGAAAAGACCCCGGGACCUUUACUAUAGCUUGGUAUUGGCGUUCGAUUCGGUUUGUGUAGGAUAGGUGGGAGACUGUGAAGCAUGCACGCCAGUGUGUGUGGAGUCGUUGUUGAAAUACCACUCUGAUCGUAUUGGACGUCUAACCUCGGCCCAUGAUCUGGGUUAGGGACAGUGCCUGGUGGGUAGUUUAACUGGGGCGGUUGCCUCCUAAAGAGUAACGGAGGCGCCCAAAGGUUCCCUCAGCCUGGAUGGCAAUCAGGUGUUGAGUGCAAGUGCACAAGGGAGCUUGACUGUGAGACUGACACGUCGAGCAGGGACGAAAGUCGGGACUAGUGAUCCGGCACCGGCAAGUGGAAGCGGUGUCGCUCAACGGAUAAAAGGUACCCCGGGGAUAACAGGCUGAUCUUCCCCAAGAGUCCAUAUCGACGGGAUGGUUUGGCACCUCGAUGUCGGCUCGUCGCAUCCUGGGGCUGGAGUAGGUCCCAAGGGUUGGGCUGUUCGCCCAUUAAAGCGGCACGCGAGCUGGGUUUAGAACGUCGUGAGACAGUUCGGUCUCUAUCCGCCGCGCGCGUAAGAAACUUGAGGAAGGCUGUCCCUAGUACGAGAGGACCGGGACGGACGAACCUCUGGUGUGCCAGUUGUUCCACCAGGAGCAUGGCUGGUUAGCUACGUUCGGAAGGGAUAACCGCUGAAAGCAUCUAAGCGGGAAGCCUGUUCCAAGAUGAGGUUUCUCACCACCUUGCGUGGUUAAGGCCCCCUACAGACCAUGGGGUUGAUAGGCCGGAACUGGAAGCGCAGCAAUGCGUGGAGGUGACCGGUACUAAUAGGCCGAGGGCUU
rnacentral:rRNA from 1 species